AGCAGUAGCCGCGGUAAUACAGAGGAUGCAAGCGUUAUCCGGAAUGAUUGGGCGUAAAGGGAGCGCAGGCGGUUUAGUAAGUCUGAAGUUAAAGGCAUUGGCUCAACCAAUGUAUGCUUUGGAAACUGUUAGACUUGAGUGCAGAAGGGGAGAGUGGAAUUCCAUGUGUAGCGGUGAAAUGCGUAGAUAUAUGGAGGAACACCGGUGGCGAAAGCGGCUCUCUGGUCUGUCACUGACGCUGAGGCUCGAAAGCGUGGGUAGCGAACAGGAUUAGAUACCCCAGUAGUCCCUGUCUCUUAUACA
rnacentral:rRNA from 1 species